UAGGGAAUCUUCCGCAAUGGACGAAAGUCUGACGGAGCAACGCCGCGUUAGUGAAGAAGGAUUUCGGUUCGUAAAACUCUGUUGUUAGGGAAGAAAAAAUGUAUAGUAACUAUAUACAAAAGAGACGGUACCUAACCAGAAAGCCACGUCUAACUACGUGCCAGCAGCCGCGGUAAUACGUAGGUGGCAAGCGUUGUCCGGAAUUAUUGGGCGUAAAGCUCGCGCAGGCGGUCACUUAAGUCCAUCUUAGAAGUGCGGGGCUUAACCCAGUGAUGGGAUGGAAACUGGGAGACUGGAGUAUCGGAGAGGAAAGUGGAAUUCCUAGUGUAGCGGUGAAAUGCGUAGAUAUUAGGAAGAACACCGGUGGCGAAGGCGACUUUCUGGACGAAAACUGACGCUGAGGCGCGAAAGCGUGGGGAGCAAACAGG
rnacentral:rRNA from 1 species